GGAGUUAGCCGGUGCUUCUUCUGUGAGUGAUGUCCUUCCUGCCGGCUAUUAACCCGCAGGCCUUCUUCCUCACUGAAAGUGCUUUACAACCCGAAGGCCUUCUUCACACACGCGGCAUGGCUGGAUCAGGGUUGCCCCCAUUGUCCAAUAUUCCCCACUGCUGCCUCCCGUAGGAGUCUGGGCCGUGUCUCAGUCCCAGUGUGGCUGAUCAUCCUCUCAGACCAGCUACGGAUCGUCGCCUUGGUGAGCCGUUACCUCACCAACCAGCUAAUCCGACAUAGGCUCAUCCGAUAGCGCGAGGCCCGAAGGUCCCCCGCUUUCCCCCGUAGGGCGUAUGCGGUAUUAGCCUGGGUUUCCCCAGGUUAUCCCCCACUACCGGGCAGAUUCCUAUGCAUUACUCACCCGUCCGCCGCUCGCCACCAGGGAGCAAGCUCCCCGUGCUGCCGCUCGACUUGCAUGUGUUAGGCCUGCCGCCAGCGUUCAAUCUGAGCCAUANANACAACUCACUACGAGCGGCGGCGCGACGACGGCG
rnacentral:rRNA from 1 species